CGUUCUGACAGGACCCCCCCAGGAUGCCGCCCAAGAAAGGAAGACAAUGGAGGAAGCAAAAUACACUGAGAUUCCAGUGCAGCAACUCAAAUUCGGGGAUGUUUUAAAGUUUAAUUGCCUUAUUUUGAUUAUGAAUGGAA